rnacentral:lncRNA from 1 species
CUCCCUCCGCGAGAAUCAUCUGUGUGCUUGCUGCUGUGCUACCAAAAAUCGUUGGACAAACUCAUGGAGGAACCCUUGCCUCUUAUGUGCCAUGCGAACACCCCGACUGUCUGCCAGCUCCCCCGUCAUCCUGUCCUUCCCCUUCCCUUCACACUCAUCUAGAUGCAUCACCAUAUCAGCAAAAUUCCCCUGACCCCGUUCAUGAAUAGGCGAGGAACAAUGGAGGCGCAUGGGUGCGCGUGACUUACCUUCUCUCUCCAUAAGGACACGAAGCACCUCGCCGCUCCACCGCCGUCCUUCGCGUCGCCGGCGUCUCGCACCUUCUCAGCACUCCCCUUCGACAUCCUUCGUGUCGCCGAUGUCCCGCGCCUUCUCCACGCCCCCCUCGGUUGUCCUUCGUGUUGUCGACGUCCCGUGCCUUCUCCGCGCUCCCCUCCUUGAUUUGUCUCCGUCCUUUGGGCCGUCGCCGGCCACGGUCACCGAUGACCUAGGGAUUUCACUCCCCUGGCGCUC